UCUGGCCUCCAUCUUUCUCCCAUGCUGGAUGCUUCCUGUCCUCGAACAUCAGACUCUAAGUUCUUCAGGUUUUGGACUCUUGGACUUAACACCAGUGAUUUGCCAGGGGCUCUUGGGCCUUCGGCCACAGAGUAAAGGCUGCACAAUGGGCUUCCCUACUUUUGAGGUUUUGGGACUUGGACUGGCUUCCUGGCUCCUCAGCUUGCAGACAGCCUGUUGUGGACUUCACCAUGUGAUAAUAUGAAGAACCAGAGGCUCAGUUCGGUGAGUGGACGUUGCUAAGGAUCAGCCAUCAUUAAUACCCACAAGAAAGAAGAAAAAAGGAAGUGGAAGGAAGGAAUGAAAGAGACAAAGAGAGGAAGGAAGGAAGGAAGGAAGAAAGGAAGGAAGGAAGGAAGGAAGGAAGAAAGGAAGGAAGGAAGGAAGGAAGGAAGGAAAUGCUGAAUAUGCUUAUGCUCAGAGACCCAUCCUCAAAUACAGACUCCUGCCAUCUCCUUGUCACCAGACUGUCACAGUUAAGAUGAGAAAGUUUAAAAACCUACAUUUUAUUUAUUUUCGAUAAUUUUGCAUAACAUAUUAUUUUUUUGAUAGUUUUUGAUAGUUAUUUCUACAUUGAGGAAAUGGUUGAGCAUCAGAAAUAGGACUGGAUAAAAAGAUUUUUUUCCUGCUACAAUAUGUGUUAUUAGUUUUCUUUUCUGGUGUCUGAAGGUAUAGAGAUAGUUCACAUUGGUAAUUUGAAGAGUAAAUUGUUUCUUUUGAAAACCUUAUUCUAGUGCAUUGUUAACUUGAUUUAAAACUAACCUUCUUACAGAGGACUUUGGAAAAGGUCUAGUGGCCAAUCUGAAAGCAGUUCUCUGCAGGUGGGCCAUGACGUGCUCAUUACCUGUGAACCAAUCCAAAAUCACAAAGUCUAAUCACUCUUGUUCAUUGUGUCUUCACUUCAUGGGCCACUAAUAUCUUGGCUGCAAGGAGACUUUUCUCCAACUUGAUCAAGCAUAUGCUAACAGUGUAUUUACCCAGGAUGGUAACAGCUUAUACUUAUUGCAUGAUUUCUCUGUGCCAAGCACCAAACCUGUUUGGGUGAUUUAUGUGAAUUAUUCAAUCCUCAUUAGAUAGGUGCUCUUAUCAUCCUCUUUUUACAGAUGAAGAAACUGAGGCACAUAAUGCUUAUAAAUAGUAAUAAUCAAUACUUUUUGUUCCCAUUUUUUUUCUUCUCCUGGUCUUCCAGUACAUUUCUGUCUCCUUAGCAACGUCCAUCCAGCCAUAACUACAACCUCAUCUAGGCUUUAGUGUCUCCAUUAUCCUCGAUCCUAAUCACAAAGUUAUCUGUUGGCAGUAGAGAAUGGGUUUAUGUAUUCCAUCAGUUAUUUAUUACUGCAUAACAAACAACCCUGGACAUUUGUGAAUUAUAUUUAAGACAAUUUGAUGUGCA
rnacentral:lncRNA from 1 species